AGAGUUUGAUCCUGGCUCAGGAUGAACGCUGGCGGCGUGCUUAACACAUGCAAGUCGAACGAAGCACUCUAUUUGAUUUUCUUCGGAAAUGAAGAUUUUGUGACUGAGUGGCGGACGGGUGAGUAACGCGUGGGUAACCUGCCUCAUACAGGGGGAUAACAGUUGGAAACGACUGCUAAUACCGCAUAAGCGCACAGGAUCGCAUGGUCCGGUGUGAAAAACUCCGGUGGUAUGGGAUGGACCCGCGUCUGAUUAGCCAGUUGGCAGGGUAACGGCCUACCAAAGCGACGAUCAGUAGCCGACCUGAGAGGGUGACCGGCCACAUUGGGACUGAGACACGGCCCAAACUCCUACGGGAGGCAGCAGUGGGGAAUAUUGCACAAUGGGGGAAACCCUGAUGCAGCGACGCCGCGUGAGUGAAGAAGUAUUUCGGUAUGUAAAGCUCUAUCAGCAGGGAAGAAAAUGACGGUACCUGACUAAGAAGCACCGGCUAAAUACGUGCCAGCAGCCGCGGUAAUACGUAUGGUGCAAGCGUUAUCCGGAUUUACUGGGUGUAAAGGGAGCGCAGGCGGUGCGGCAAGUCUGAUGUGAAAGCCCGGGGCUCAACCCCGGUACUGCAUUGGAAACUGUCGUACUAGAGUGUCGGAGGGGUAAGUGGAAUUCCUAGUGUAGCGGUGAAAUGCGUAGAUAUUAGGAGGAACACCAGUGGCGAAGGCGGCUUACUGGACGAUUACUGACGCUGAGGCUCGAAAGCGUGGGGAGCAAACAGGAUUAGAUACCCUGGUAGUCCACGCCGUAAACG
rnacentral:rRNA from 1 species